AGAAAGCUUUGGCAUCAUAAGGCUCCUCCCAAAGCCUCUUUCUUUGUGUGGACAGCGUCUUUGGGUAAGAUCCUUACUACGGAUAAUCUAAGAAAGAGGAGGAUAAUUAUUGCAGAUUGGUGUUGUAUGUGUAAAAGCGGGGGUGAGUCGGUAAAUCAUUUACUUUUACACUGUGAGUUAACUAAGGCUAUUUGGGACGCAGUGUUUAAAAGGAUGGAUAUGGCGUGGGUGAUGCCGGAAACAGUUUUGGAUGUAUUGGCUUGCUGGAAUUCUAUCCGUGGGGUGAGACAGAUUAAAGCAGUGUGGAAGAUGAUCCCUAUCUGUAUUAUGUGGUGUCUAUGGCAGGAACGAAAUGAGAGGACUUUUGAAGACAAAGAGAGAUCUGUGGAGGAGCUAAUAUUG